GCAGCCCUACUUUGGGACCUGGCUAGAACUGGUGCCUCAAUCCAGGAUCCAAAAGGUCCUUUGACAUAUUCCUGUAGCCCAUGUCACCCCUUCCUCUCCAGAUCCCCAGCUCCUUCCCUGUCUGGGCCCCAGUAAGCAAACCUAACACCUGGAGGGACAAGGUGGGAAGGAUAGGAUCUGGGAGAGUGAGCACCUAAAAAAAGGCACCUUGGCCACCUUCUCUCCAGCACUCGCAGUCUUGCUUUCAUGUUGCUUCUCCCAAUGUCUUUUUUGUUACAAUCUGACAUGUUCACAUGUAGACUUUUAAAAGGAACAGUGUUGAAAAGGAGCUGAUUUUCUUUUUAAAAUGACUUGGAGAAUUUAGGUGUGAGUGUAUCCUCUCCAAACUGCAGUAAUAAAUAGGUGAAAUACAUAAAGUAAAGCAAAAAGACAUAACCAGGCUGAACAAUGAGAUCUCUAUGAAGCAAAAUCAGAAAAGAAAUGCUAGCGGAUGGGAAGGCUGAAGCCUGGAGUCUACUAGGCUCUGGAAGCCAAAGGCAGUGGCAGGUCCUCAGGGAUAAAAAGGGACUGAAAACUCUUGGCUAGGAGCUGGGGGCUUGGAUGUACCCCUGAAAGGAAGCUGAGGUGGGGGUGCUGCUGCUGAUCAAUCUUCUGAGGCCCUAGCUUUAUAGGAUGUGUAUUACCCACCAUGUACCACAGUAUAAGAGCCUGAAAAAUGCCAUACAAUCUGGAGGCAACUGCAAAACCUUAAGUUAGGUGAGCAAAGGUUGGGGGCAGAGCAGGAAGGGAAAGAGAGGGAGGGAGAGGAUAUACUAUCCAUUCAAAAUAACUCGUGCCAUGGAGUUCCCAUCGUGACUCAGUGGUUAAUGAAUCUGACUAGGAACUAUGAGGUUGCGGGUUUGAUCCCUGGCCUCACUCAGUGGGUUAAGGAUCCAGCGUUGCUGUGAGCUGUGGUAUAGGUUGCAGAUGCAGCUUGGAUCCCGCAUUGCUGUGGCUCUGGUAUAGGCCGGCUGCUAUAGCUCCGAUUGACCCCUAGCCUGGGAACCUCCAUAUGCUGUGGGAGCAGCCCAAGAAAUGGCAAUAAUAAUAAUAAUAAUAAUAAUAAUAAUAAUAACAACUUGUGCCAGAACAUAAGCAAAGGGCUCAGAGAAUGAUGGGGCCAUGUCAGAGGGACCCAGAACCACCUUGAAAGGGCUCCACUGAUCAGAUCUGGGACAAUUUGAGCAUUAAAAUAAAUAAUGACAGUGAGGAAUACUCACUGAAUAAAAAUAGAAACUAUAAGCCUGUAUUGGAGUAAAUAAAUGAUGAAAGUUUGAUGAGAAAUGGGGAACUUACAUAGUUUCAAAAUACCUCCCCAUAAAAUACUUACUAAUUUUAAGCAGGAGAAAAGGAUUUAACUUAACAGAGGGUAAGCUUGGCAGAUACUGCCCAUGGUAGGCUGAAUAAUGGCCUCCAAAGAUGUCUGCACCCUAAUCUUGGAACCUGUGAAUGUCACUUUAUAUGGUGAAAGGGACUUUGCAGAUGUGAGUAAAUUAGAGGUCUUGGGAUUAGGAGUUUCUUCUGGUGAGACUAACGAAGUCACUGAGAUCCUUAUAAAAGGGAGGCAGGAGAUCAGAAUGAGAGAAUGUGUGCAAAGAGAGAAGCAGAGGUUGGAGUGAUGUAGCUCUGAGCUAAGGAAUGCGCAGGCAGCCUCUAGAAGCUGAGAGAGGCAGGUACAGAUUUUCCUUUGGAACCUCCAGAAGGAACUAGUCCUGCUAAUACCUUGAUUUUAGCCCCAUGGGACUGAUUUUGGACUUCUGAUCUUCAGACCUGUAAGAGAAAAAAGUAUGUUGUUUCAAGCCCCUACAUUUGUAGUAAUUUGUUACAGCAAACAGGACAGUUUUCAACAGGAAACCAAUACAGCACCUUAACCAAGUGAUUGAGGAUAACAUCAUGAGUAAUGGAGCAAAUCAAAAUUGUACACCACCUGAUAGGAUACAGUUGCAAGAAGACCAAAUUGCUUCUCUGAUAUCCCUACCAAAGAUGUAUGACUUGAGUCUAGUCAUGAGGAUACAUCAGACAAACCCAGAUUAAGGGAAAUUCUAUAAAAUAACUGAUCUGUUAUCAUCAAAAGUGUCAAGGUUAUGCAAGUCAAGGAGAGACUGAGGAACUGUUUCAGAUACAAGGAGACUCAAGGGACAUCACAACUAAAUGCAAUGCCUGAUUCUGAAAUGGAUCCUUUUGCUACAUAGGACAUUAGGGGAGCAACUGGCAAAACUUGAGUGGGGUCUGGGGAUCAGAUGGUUGUACCAUGUUAAUUUCUUACUAUUAAUGGCUGUAUUUUGGUUAUAUCAGAGAGCAUCUUUGCAGAUAAUGCACAUGAAACUGUUCAGAAGCUUGUGUUGGGAAUGCAUUUGAAAUGAUGCAGCGGGGGGAGUUCUUUGUAUGGUACUUGAACUUUUCUGUAAAUUUGAGAUUUUUUUAAAAAAGCAAAGUGAGCCUACAAACCAAGAUUUGAAAACAUGAGCAAUCAAAGGCUAGGAAAGAUAGCCAAUGAAAUAAAGAAAUUGGCAGAUUCACUCCAGAUGAAAUAAGUUUUUAUAGAAGUGUGACAAAUAAUUUUUAGAAAGAAAAAGAUUAAAAGCUAUCCAACUUAUUUGUUGAGGAUAGUAUAAUUGUGGUACCAAGCCAGACAAGGACAUACCAGAGAAUUAUAGACCAAUCUGAUUUAUGAGUCUUUGUCACAAGGAGAUGGCAUGAAUAGGGGUUAGUGUAUGGCCUCUGGAGCCAAGCAGUCUGAAUUUGUAUUCUGUUCUCAUUACCCUCUGUGACCUUGAGGAGGUGACUUGACUUCUUUGUACCUCAGUUAUGUCACAUCAGAGGAGGAAAUAACUUUCUUAAUAGGCCUUCUAGGAUGGAAUGAAAUAAUUCUUGGAAAACGCCUUAAUGGUGCCUGGAAUAUAGAAAUCACCUAAUAAAUGUUAGCUAUUAUUAGUUAACAUGAACGUAAAUUCAAAAAAUUCUAAAUAAAAUAAUACCAUUGAAAAUAACAGUGUACACAAAAAACAAUGCAUGGUGGAGGAGUUCCUGUCAUGGCGAAGCAGAAAUGAAUCUGACUAGGAACCAUGAGGUUGUGGGUUCAAUCCCUGCCCUCGCUCAGUGGGUUAAGGAUCUGACAUUGCUGUGAGGUGUGGUGUAGGUUGCAGAUGCGGCUCGGAUCCUGCAUUGCUGUGGCUAUGGUGUAGGCGGCCGGCAGCUGUAGCUCUUAUUAGACCCCUAGCCUGGAACCCUCCAUAUGCUGCAGGUGUGGCCCUAAAAAGCAAAAUAAAUAAGUAAAUAAAAAUAAAAUAAAAUGUAAUUCAUCAUGGAAAAGUAGAGCUUAUUCCAAGAAUACAGGAGUGAGUCAACAUUAGAUAACUUACUAACGUAAUAUACUACAGGAACAGAUUACUCAUGCAAUGUAACCUAUUAGCAAACUAGUUUCCUUAACCUAAUAAACAAAUAGCAAUGAUCAUACGUAAUGGUAAAACUUUAAAAGCAAUUUCCAUCAAGGUCAGGACUCAGACAAGGAUGCCUUCUAUUAUGGUUUCUAUUUAUCACUACAGUGGAGGUCCUAGUCCUUCAUAUGUUAGCUUAAAUUAUAUGAAAUUGCCAUUUUUUAGGUCACAGUCUGCCCAACAGCAGCGUCUUAUAUAAUUCAACCUAUAUAAUUCAUCUUAUACCAUUCAGUAAUUCAGUAGAAAGAAAGAAAAUAAAUAAGAAUUGGAAAGGAAAACUACCUGUAUUUACAGAUGAUAUGGUGGUCUAUAUAGAAAACCCAAGAGAAUAUACAGAUAAAUUAUGAGAACUAGUAAGAGAGCAAGAUUGCUGAAUUCAAAGUCAACUUAAAAAGGAUUAAUAGCAGAGUUCCCAUUGUGGUGCAGAAGAAACGAAUUUGACCAGUAACCAUGAGGUUGCGGAUUCAAUCCCUGGACUCAUUAAGUGGGUUAAGGCUCUGGCGUUGCUCUGAGCUGUGGUGUAGAUUACAGAUGUGGCUUGGAUUCUACAUUGCUGUGGCUGUGGUGUAGGCCAGCAGCUCUAGCUCCAAUUUGACCCCUAGCCUGAGAACCUCCAUAUGCCAUGGGUGCAGCC
rnacentral:lncRNA from 1 species